rnacentral:tRNA from 1 species
GCGAGCGUAGCCAAGUGGUCAAGGCAGUGGAUUGUGGCUUCACGAUACGCGGGUUCAAUCCCCGUCGUUCGCC